GAUGAACGCUGGCGGCGUGCCUAAUACAUGCAAGUCGAGCGAACGGACGAGAAUCUUGCUUCUCUGAUGUUAGCGGCGGACGGGUGAGUCACACGUGUAUACCCUACCUAUCAUACUGGGAUAACUUCGGGACACCGGAGCUAAUACCGUAUAAUCUUUUGCUCCGCAUGGUUCAAAAGUGAAAUACGGUCUUGCUGUCACUUCUCGCUGCAUCCGCGCUGCAUUAGCUAGUUGUUACGGUCACGGCUUACCACGGCAACGAUGCAUAGACGACGUGCGAGAGGGAUAGGCCGCACGGGAACGGAGACACGGUCAAGAGGACUAAGGGAGGCAGCAGAAGGGAAUCUGACGCAAUGGGGGAAAGAAUGACGGAGCAAGGCCGCGUGAGUGAUGAAGGUCUUCGGAGCGUAAAAAUCGGUUAUUAGGGAAGAACAGAUGUGGAAGGAAAUGUGCAGAGAGUGACGGUAAUUAAUAAGAAAGCAACGGCUAACUACGUG
rnacentral:rRNA from 1 species